rnacentral:rRNA from 1 species
CCUACGGGAGGCAGCAGUGGGGAAUAUUGGACAAUGGGGGGAACCCUGAUCCAGCCAUGCCGCGUGUGUGAAGAAGGCCCUCGGGUUGUAAAGCACUUUCAGUGAGGAAGAACGCCUGGUGGUUAAUACCCAUCAGGAAAGACAUCACUCACAGAAGAAGCACCGGCUAACUCCGUGCCAGCAGCCGCGGUAAUACGGAGGGUGCGAGCGUUAAUCGGAAUUACUGGGCGUAAAGCGCGCGUAGGUGGCUUGAUAAGCCGGUUGUGAAAGCCCCGGGCUCAACCUGGGAACGGCAUCCGGAACUGUCAAGCUAGAGUGCAGGAGAGGAAGGUAGAAUUCCCGGUGUAGCGGUGAAAUGCGUAGAGAUCGGGAGGAAUACCAGUGGCGAAGGCGGCCGUCUGGACUGACACUGACACUGAGGUGCGAAAGCGUGGGUAGCAAACAGGAUUAGAUACCCGGGUAGUC